GGCGGUAGGCCUAACACAUGCAAGUCGAACGGCAGCACAGGAGAGCUUGCUCUCUGGGUGGCGAGUGGCGGACGGGUGAGGAAUACAUCGGAAUCUACUUUUUCGUGGGGGAUAACGUAGGGAAACUUACGCUAAUACCGCAUACGACCUACGGGUGAAAGCAGGGGAUCUUCGGACCUUGCGCGAUUGAAUGAGCCGAUGUCGGAUUAGCUAGUUGGCGGGGUAAAGGCCCACCAAGGCGACGAUCCGUAGCUGGUCUGAGAGGAUGAUCAGCCACACUGGAACUGAGACACGGUCCAGACUCCUACGGGAGGCAGCAGUGGGGAAUAUUGGACAAUGGGCGCAAGCCUGAUCCAGCCAUACCGCGUGGGUGAAGAAGGCCUUCGGGUUGUAAAGCCCUUCUGUUGGGAAAGAAAUCCAGCUGGUUAAUACCCGGUUGGGAUGACGGUACCCAAAGAAUAAGCACCGGCUAACUUCGUGCCAGCAGCCGCGGUAAUACGAAGGGUGCAAGCGUUACUCGGAAUUACUGGGCGUAAAGCGUGCGUAGGUGGUCGUUUAAGUCCGUUGUGAAAGCCCUGGGCUCAACCUGGGAACUGCAGUGGAUACUGGACGACUAGAGUGUGGUAGAGGGUAGCGGAAUUCCUGGUGUAGCAGUGAAAUGCGUAGAGAUCAGGAGGAACAUCCAUGGCGAAGGCAGCUACCUGGACCAACACCGACACUGAGGCACGAAAGCGU
rnacentral:rRNA from 1 species